rnacentral:rRNA from 1 species
UUGAACGCUGGCGGCAUGCUUUACACAUGCAAGUCGAACGGUAGACCCUUUCGGGGGUUGAGAGUGGCGAACGGGUGAGUAAUACAUCGGAACGUGCCCGAUCGUGGGGGAUAACGGAGCGAAAGCUUUGCUAAUACCGCAUACGAUCUACGGAUGAAAGCAGGGGACCGCAAGGCCUUGCGCGGACGGAGCGGCCGAUGGCAGAUUAGGUAGUUGGUGGGAUAAAAGCUUACCAAGCCGACGAUCUGUAGCUGGUCUGAGAGGACGACCAGCCACACUGGGACUGAGACACGGCCCAGACUCCUACGGGAGGCAGCAGUGGGGAAUUUUGGACAAUGGGCGCAAGCCUGAUCCAGCCAUGCCGCGUGCAGGAUGAAGGCCUUCGGGUUGUAAACUGCUUUUGUACGGAACGAAAAGACUCCUUCUAAUAAAGGGGGUCCAUGACGGUACCGUAAGAAUAAGCACCGGCUAACUACGU